rnacentral:lncRNA from 1 species
GUGCAGUGACGACGACGGCGAUGGUGGCACGGCGAUGGCUAUAACAGUGACCUAUAGGUGGACCGUGAGAGAGAGAGAGGGGCCAUACCUAAGAGAUCUGGAGAGAGAGAGGGAGAGAUCGUGAUCCGACAGACUUCAAAGAGGGAUGGUGGUGGUGGCAGAGGCGGAGCGAUGACGACGGUGGCAGAGGAGGAGCGAUGAUGACAAUGGCAGCCUUAGAGGAAGCAACAACUGUAAGAGAAGGAGAGGGGGGAGAGAGAGAGAAAGUGAGGGAGGGAGAGGGAGAA